AUUAGGAGAGUAUGGCAGCUCCCCACAUGUAGCAGUCUAUAAUAAUAACGAUGUUGUAUCCUUCAACACAUAUGAAGCAUUUUGUACACAGGGCUGAAGAUACGUGUCUAAAUAAAUAGACACUGGCUGAAAAAUAGAACCCCGGACUGAUAUGAUAGGUCUGCCCGGGGGGUUCAACCUAUCUUUGUGUAUCUUCGGAAUCGUGUACAAAAUAGGCUUAAUUGGACAAUCAGUCAUGAGCAAGCGAGCUACAUCAUUUGAGAUAAUACCAUUAUCGACUGAUUGCAACAAAAACUUAUCAAGCUGUUUCUUAAAGUCAUCAGUAGGAUCACAAGGCAAUAACCGAUAGGUACUGGUAUCAGAUAACUGACGAGCAAUUUCUUUUUUAUAAUCAGUUAAGUCCUGAACAACGAUAGAGCCGCCUUUAUCAGCGGCCCGUAUAACAAUGUCCUGCCUAGAUCCUAGACUCUGUAAAGCUUGAUAUUCUGCUUUUGAGAGGUUGGAAUGUCCCCUAUAUGACCUUGUCUGGUCAGUAUCUACAACAGCAUCAACCAACCGGGUAAAAGUCUUAAUCGAGGCAUUAUUUGAUACCGGAUCAAAGCUUGAAGAAGCUUUUAAUUUGCGUAAUUCAGGUGGAAUGGCAUCUUGGUUGUUAUUAGAGACCAUAGUCCCAAAAUGUUCCCGUAAUUUGAGUUGUCGAUUUAAUUUAAACAUUUCUGUUUUCCAAAUAAACGGAUCAAAUGAAGUGGUAGGUACAAAGUUCAAUCCUUUUUUAAGGACAGAUUCUUCAACACUGGAAAGUGGUGUACUAGAAAGAUUAAAUAUUACUUCUUCCUGGGGGCCGAUGUUUUUUUGGGAUUGCCGCUUGAAGCACUGUUAUAUUGUAAAAACAUUGUUUACAGCUGUUUCUAUGGUGAUGGGUUGCACGGUGAUGUCAUCAAUCCGCGCACGGCAGAACGGAGGAGGCCGGCGGCGGGAAGCGGCAUGGUGAGGGUGAGCACUUAAAUUGGUGAGUUUAUGUCUGUAUUGUUUUAUGCCCUGACGAAAAAGCGAACUGCUUUGAAACGUUGGCAACAACUUGCAGUGUCAUGUCUUAUUUGUUCUGAGUGCCGCCGUUCAAGACUGCUAUAUAUAUAUAUAUUGAUAAAAGCGCUAGCAGGUCUAGGCAGUAUUGUUACUGACUUCAGAACCGGGAUAGGCGCUGGGUGUGAGCUGGCUGAACUCUCUCUGUGUCUUUCUAACAGGCUCUGCUGUGGGUCUGUCCACUAUAGCCCAGUGUGUUUGUGGCUGUCGGUACGUGUGUGUGUCGACAUGUUGGAGGCUGAAUGCUCUUCCCAGGAGGAAGCUGGCGUGGGGACUGACAGUUCUGUGAGAGUGACAGUGUCGGCACUGCCGACGGAUGAUUGGGUCAAUAUGCUGAGUGUUUUAAAUACAAACGUGACUAAGUUGGCUAAGAGGUUUGAUAAAUCUGAGUCUAAGAACCAGACAUGGUGAAAUCCAUGGAAGGUGCUUUGUCACAGGCCCAGACCCCUUUGGGGUCGCAGAAACGUGCAUUUGCGCAAAUAGCAGAUACAGAUACCGACACGGACUCUGAUUGCAGUGUCGACUAUAGUGAUGCCAGAUUACACCCAAAACUGGCUAAGAGUAUUCAGUACAUGACUGUGGCGAUAAAAGACGUUUUACAUAUCACUGAGGACCCUGCUGUUCCUGAUACGGGGGUCUGUAUGUUUAAAAGCAAGAAACCUGAGGUAACGUUUCCUCCCUCUCAUGAACUGAAUGCACUUUUUGAAAAAGCUUGGGAAAAUCCCGACAAAAAGAUACAUGUUCCCAAAAGAAUUCCAAUGGCAUAUCCGUUUCCCUCUGGGGACAGGGACAGCUGGGAGUCAAUCCCCACGGUAGACAAAGCUUUGUUGCGUCUGUCCAAAUAGGUAGCGCUUCCGUCCCCUGACACGGCAGCCCUGAAGGAAUCUGCGGAUCGAAAAGUGGGCAGAUAACUUGUCAUCUGAGGUAGAUUCCCUAGAUAGGGAUAGUGUGCUUUUGACCUUGGGUCAUAUCAAGGAUGCAGCAGCGUAUUUAAAAGAAGCGGUAAGGGAUAUUGGCCUUUUGGGAUCGAGGGCCAAUGCCAUGGCAGUCUCUGCUAGGAGAGCAUUGUGGAUUCAUCAGUGGAAUGCUUAUGCUGAUUCUAAGAAGGCGAUGGAGUCUUUACCGUUUAACGGUAAGGUCCUGUUUGGUGAUGGCCUCACUGACCUGGUCUCUACGGCUACCGCGGGUAAGUCCUUAUUUUUACCUUAUGUUCCUGCACAGCAGAAGAAAUCGCCUCACUAUCAGAUGCAGUCCUUUCGGCCCAACAAAUUCAAAAAGGGACGUGGGUCCCCCUUCCUUGCUGCGAGGGGGAGAGGAAGGGGAAAAAGGUCACAGGCUGUGGCUAGUUCCCAGGAGCAGAAGUCCUCUCCGGCUUCUACCAAGUCCACCGCAUGACUCUGGGGCUCCUCUGCAGGAGUCCGCUCCGGUGGGGGCACGUCUCAGACUCUUCAUUCAGGUCUGGAUGCACUCGGACCUGGAUCCUUGGAUAGUAGAAAUAGUAACCCAAGGGUACAAGCUGGAGUUUCAAGACGUUCCCCCUCACCGAUUUUUCAAAUCUGCCUUGCCAGCUUCUCUUCCAGAAAGGGAGAUAGUAAGCGCUGCGAUACUAAAGUUGUGUCAAAAUCAAGUGAUUGUUGCAGAACCCCGGCUCAACAGGGGGAAGGUUUUUAUUCAAGCCUGUUCGUGGUCCCGAAGCCGGAUGGCUCAGUCAGACCGAUUCUAAAUCUGAAAUCCCUUAAUUUCUUUCUAAAAAGAUUCAUGUUAAAGAUGGCGUCUCUACGAGCAGUGAUCUCCAGUCUGGAGGAGUGGGAUUUUAUGGUGUCGGUCGACAUAAAGAAUGCCUACUUACAUGUCCCCAUAUAUCCUCCACAUCAGGCUUACCUGAGAUUUGCUGUGCAGGAUUGUCAUUACCAAUUUCAGACGUUGCAGUUUGGUCUGUCCACGGCUCCGAGGAUUUUCACCAAAGUAAUGGCGGAAAUGAUGGUUCUUCUGCGCAAGCAGGGAAUCACAAUUAUCCCGUACUUGGACGAUCUCCUCAUACAGGCGAGGUCCAAGGAGAAAUUGUUGAAGAAUGUUGCUCUUUCGCCGACGAUUCUGCAACAACACGGUUGGCUCCUAAAUUUGCUAAAAUCACAGUUGGAUCCAACGACACGGCUGUUGUUCCUGGGUAUGAUUCUGGAUACAGAAUUACAGAGAGUUUUUCUUCCAGUGGAAAAAGCUUUGGAAAUACAGAACAUGGUAAAACGGAUUCUGAAACCGGCAAAGGUGUCAGUUCUUCACUGCACUAGGUUGCUGGGGAAGAUGGUAGCGGCCUAUGAGGCCAUUCCGUAUGGCAGGUUCCAUGCCAGGGUGUUUCAGUGGAACCUGCUGGACCAGUGGUCCAGGUCUCACCUGGACAUGCACCGGAAAAUAAUCCUAUCUUCCAGGACAAGAAUUUCCCUUCUGUGGUGGCUGCACAGUUCUCACCUUCUGGAGGGACGCAGGUUUGGGAUUCAGGAUUGGAUCCUGGUGACCACGGAUGCAAGCCUCUGAGGCUGGGAGCAGUCACGCAGGGAAGAAACUUUCAGGGUAAGUGGUCAAGUCAGGAAGCUUGUCUACACAUAAACAUUCCGGAAUUAAGAGCCAUCCACAACGGCAUACUGCAAGCAGACCAUCUUCUUCGAGGUCUGCCGGUCUUGAUUCAGUCAGACAACGUGACAGCAGUGGCGUACAUAAACCGCCAAGGCGGAACAAAGAGCAGAGCGGCGAUGGCCAAGGCCAUGAAGAUUCUUUGCUGGGCGGAAAGACAUGCCAGCGCUCUGGUAGCGGUCUUCAUUCCAGGAGUGGACAACAGGGAAGCAGAUUUCCUCAGCAGACACGAUCUCCAUCCAGGAGAGUGGAGUCUUCAUCAAGUGGUCUUUGCAGAAGUGACAAAUCGUUGGGGAGUUCCUCAAGUGGACAUGGGCGUCCCGCCUCAACAAGAAACUUCAGAAAUAUUGUUCCAGGUCAAGGGACCCUCAGGCGAUAGCGGUGGACGCCCUAGUGACACCGUGCGUGUUUCAGUCGGUCUAUGUGUUCCCUCCACUUCCACUCAUUCCAAGGGUGAUAAAAAUUAUAAGAAGAACAAGGGUUACGGCAAGCCUCAUUGUUCCGGAUUGGCCAAAAUGGGCCUGGUAUCCAGAUCGUCAGGAGUUGCUCAUAGAAGAUCCCUGGCCUCUUCCUCUUCGGGAGGACCUGUUACAACAGGGGCUGUGCGUGUAUCAGGACUUACCGCGGCUGCGUUUGACGGCGUAGCGGUUGAACGCCAAAUCCUAGCCCGAAAGGGUAUUCCCAGUGAAGUUAUUCCUACACUUCUUCAGGCUGGAAAAGAAGUAACGGCAAAGCAUUACCACCGUAUUUGGAUAAAAUAUGUGUCUUGGUGUGAAUCCAAGAAGGCUCCUACGGAAGAAUUUCACCUGGGGCGGUUGCUCCAUUUCCUACAAGCAGGUGUGGAUGCGGGCUUAAAGUUAGGCUCUAGUAAGGUACAGAUUUCGGCCUUAUCGAUCUUUUUUCAGAAAGAAUUGGCCUCCCUUUCCGGAAGUUCAGACCUUCAUGAAGGGCGUGCUGCACAUCCAACCUCCCUUUGUGCCCCCCAGUGGCACAAUGGGAUCUUAAUGUGGUGUUGCAAUUCUUGCAAUCACAUUGGUUUGAACCUUUGCGCAAGGUUGAGUUAAAAUUCCUUACUUGGAAAGUGGUCAUGUUGUUGGCCUUGGCGUCUGCAAGGCGAGUGUCUGAGUUGGCGGCUUUAUCUCACAAAAGCCCCUAUUUGAUUUUCCAUGCUGAUAGAGCGGAGUUGAGAACUCGUCAGCAAUUUCUGCCAAAAGUGGUUUCAUCAUUUCAUGUUAACCAGCCAAUUGUGGUGCCAGUGGCUACUGACGCCUUGGCAGAAUCAAAGUCUCUCGAUGUGGUGAGAGCUUUGAAGAUUUAUGUCGCCAGAACGGCGCAAAUUAGGAAAACAGAGGAUCUGUUUGUCCUGUGGGCUCCCAACAAGAUUGGGGCUCCUGCUUUUAAGCAGACUAUUGCGCGCUGGAUUUGUAAUACAAUUCAGCAGGCUCAUUCUACGGCAGGAUUGCCGUUAUCGAAAUCGGUGAAAGACCAUUCUACCAGAAAGGUGGGCUCAUCUUGGGCGGCUGCCCGGGGAGUGUCUGUGUUACAACUUUGCCGAGCUGCUACUUGGUCGGGUUCAAACACCUUUGCAAAGUUUUACAAGUUUGAUACCCUGGCUGAGGAGGUCCUCUUGUUUGGUCAAUCGGUGCUGCAGAGUCAUCCGCACUCUCCCACCUGUUCUAGAGUUUUGUAUAAACCCCAUGGUUCUUGAAGCAUCCCCAGCAUCCUCUAGGACGUAUGAGAAAAUAGGAUUUUAAUACCUACCGGUAAAUCAUUUUCUCUUAGUCCGUAGAGGAUGCUGGGCACCCGUCCCAGUGCAGGCUGUAUCUGCAGUUUGCUGUAGUUACGCUCAUGUUGCGUUGAGAGUAGUCACUCUGUGACUGUUGUUGGUCAUGCCAUUGCAUGUGUUGUUGUUGAAUGCCAUAUUGUACGGCGUGUUAGUGGUGUGAGCUGGUAUGUAUCUCACCUUAGUUUAAAGUAGUUAAAUAAGUCCUUUCCUCGAAUGUCCGUCUCCCUGGGCACAGUUCCUAUAACUGGAGUCUGGAGGAGGGGCAUAGAGGGAGGAGCCAGUUCACACCCAUUCAAAGUCUUAUAGUGUGCCCAUGUCUCCUGCGGAUCCCAUCUAUACCCCAUGGUUCUUGAAACAUCCCCAGCAUCCUCUACAGACUAAGAGAAAAGGAUUUACCGGUAGGUAUUAAAAUCCUAUUUUUACAGUGGGUGUUGUUGUUGUUGUUGUUGUUGUUGUUGUUCUACUACUACUACAGGAGGAGCAGCCUGUGGUGUCCUGUUGUUGUUGUUAUCAUUAUUAUUAUUAUACAGGGAAAGCAGCCUGUGGUGUCCUGUUAAUAUUAUUAUACAUGAGGAACAGCCUGUGGUGUUCUGUUAUUAUAAUUAUACAUGAGGAGCUGCCUGUGGUGUCCUGUUGUUAUUAAUAUUAUUAUUAUUAUACAGGAGGUGCCUGUGGUGUCUUGUUGUUGUUAUUUUACAGUGGGAUUUGUUGUUGUUGUUGUUGUUGUUGUUAUUACUACUACUAUUAUUAUUAUUAUUAUUAUUAUUAUUAUUAUUAUACAGGAGGAGCAGCCUGUGGUGUCCUGUUGUUAUUAUUAUACAGGGGGAGCAGCCUGUGGUGUCCUGUUAUUAUUAUAUAGGAGGAGCAGCCUGUGGUGUAACAUUAUACAGUACAGUGCUGUGUGACGGCCUCUGAGGACCCUUAUGGGGCUGGGUCACAGGAACCUCUGACAGACGCUGACCAGGACUGUAUGUGUUCUCUGUGAUGUGUAUUAUAUUUAUUCCUAGACACUCCAGCUGUGAGGAACCAGAGUCUUUAUUACACAUCACACGUUCUGUAUUCUCACUGAUUCACUGAAGAUGGAGACGGACUGGAGUCACAGGACUGAGACGAUAAUAAAUAUCACCCUGGAAAUCAUCUACAUGCUGACUGGAGAGGAUUACAUAUUAGUGAAGAAGACAUCCGGUGAAUGUAAGACACCCAACAAUCACCAACAUGUGUCAGGAGGACUGAGCAGGACUCGGAGCCCCAUCACAGUGUCUCCACCUCACUCACUGAUACAUGAGAGACACAAUGACCAGAAGAUCCUGGAACUCACCAACAAGAUCAUUCAGCUGCUGACUGGAGAGGAGGGGGAGUAUAUAGAGGAACACAGGGGUCUGUACAAGGACGUGAUAAUGGAGAAUCACCGGCCCCUCACAUCACUGGGUAAAAGGAGACUGUCAUGUAUUGUACAGGGGAGAGCAGAUGGGCCCAGUAACAGAGAUACCCCAGAGAGAUGUCCCCGUCCUCUGUAUUCCCAGGAUUGUACAGAGGAGAAUCAUAGGAUCCCACAGGAGGAUCAGGGAGAACACCUGACUGAUAUUAAGAAAGAUACAGAGGGUAUAGAGACGUAUGUGACUGAUAUGAAGGCAGAAGAUAUAGAGGGAGAAGAAGAGACGUAUGUGACUGAUAUGAAGGCAGAAGAUACAAGGGGAGAAGAAGAGACGUAUGUGACUGAUAUGAAGGCAGAAGAUACAGAAGGAGAAAAAGAGGCGUAUGUGAGGGGUGAUCAGCAGUGUUAGGAGGAGGAAAUCCCUACAGAUAUCAACAGAGUACUAAAAAUGGGAAAACCAGCAGCCCAGCGUAUGAGAAUACCGCGCACGAAUGGACCCGGAAAGAAAGAAAGCUUAUAACGAUAAAAUUAAAUGCAUGAUGCAGAAUUUACGUCAGAAGAAGCCGUUAUCGUCUUCUGAAAAGCAAAAGAUUCGUGAAGCUACAAAAUUGAGAGUGCAAAGGUACAGGCAACGAAAAAGAGAAAACGUUUCACAUGCCACUACACCUCAAACAGCAGGUCCAAGAGUAAAUCAACACUUGGAAUAACAGUGAAACGUUUGCAGAGUGCCCUCUCAAAUAGUCCAAGGGAGAAGGUUGCAGUGGUUAAAAACUAGCGUUACAAUCUGGCUUUUUGCCUCAAGAUACAAAACGACAAAGAGUUCUUGGUUCUGGAGGAUCAAUUUGAUGAAACUGUCUUGCAUGAACGAUCAGAUGUAUGUAGCAGAAGGAAUAUCUCAGAGAAAAAUCUAAUUUCAUCUUCACAUUGUAAAAUAGAAGACGUCAUCACACGAGAUUCUCAUGGACAACACCCUACUGGUCUACUUAUACCUCCAGUUCCUCACAGUGUGGAUGUGUCAUCUGGCUCCUCUAAUCGUGGGGAAUGUUCUCAUGAUAACUCUGCUAUUGGUGCAUCUGUUUCAGCUCUUACAGUAGAUAAAAUAUUUCCCUGUCUGUAGAUGCCAAAUGUUUAACACAGAACACAGAGCUUAUUACCCAUCAGCCAGUUAAAGCAGGUGAAAGGCCAUUUCCAUGUUCUGAGUGUGGAAAAUGUUUUACACGGAAAUCAGAUCUUGUUAUACAUCAGAGAUGUCACACAGGUGAAAGCCUAUUUCCAUAUGCUGAGUGUGAGAAAUGUUUUCCACACAUGUCAGCUCUUGUACAUACAUACAGGAGAAAAACCAUUCUUGUGUUCUAAGGGUGAAAAAUGUUUUAGCAAUAAAAAUUCAAAACUUCA